rnacentral:rRNA from 1 species
UACGGAGGGUGCAAGCGUUAAUCGGAAUUACUGGGCGUAAAGCGUGCGUAGGCGGUUCGUUAAGUCUGCUGUGAAAGCCCCGGGCUCAACCUGGGAAUGGCAGUGGAUACUGGCGAGCUAGAGUGUGAUAGAGGAUGGUGGAAUUCCCGGUGUAGCGGUGAAAUGCGUAGAUAUCGGAAGGAACAUCAGUGGCGAAGGCGACUUCCUGGACCAAUACUGACGCUCAGGUGCGAAAGCGUGGGGAGCAAACAGG